rnacentral:rRNA from 1 species
GAUGAACGCUAGCGGCAGGCCUAACACAUGCAAGUCGAGGGGCAGCACAGAAACAGCAAUGUUUUGGUGGCGACCGGCGGACGGGUGCGUAACGCGUAUGCAACCUACCUUUAACAGGGGGAUAACGGAGAGAAAUUUCCACUAAUACCCCAUAACAUCGAUCAAGGCAUCUUGAUUGGUUGAAAACUCCGGUGGUUAAAGAUGGGCAUGCGUUGUAUUAGGUAGUUGGUGAAGUAAUGGCUCACCAAGCCUACGAUACAUAGGGGGACUGGGAGGUUAGCCCCCCACACUGGUACUGAGACACGGACCAGACUCCUACGGGAGGCAGCAGUGAGGAAUAUUGGUCAAUGGGGGCAACCCUGAACCAGCCAGGCCGCGUGCAGGAAGACGGCUCUAUGAGUUGUAAACUGCUUUUAAACAGGGAUAAAGCACAGUAUGUAUACAGUGUUGAAGGUACUGUAAGAAUAAGGAUCGGCUAACUCCGUGCCAGCCGCCGCCGUAA